CAGGCUUUCCUGAGGGGGGAAAUCAUAAAACCAUAGAAUCAGAGUUGGAAGGCACCCCCAAGGGUCAUCUAGUCCAACCCUCUGAGCAGUAGUCUAGGAGAUGACCACAAAGAGAAUAAUCUCAAGCCAGAAGAGUCUUGAAUAUACGGAAAUCCAAGCCUUCCACCUGGAGGGUACGAGGCAAACGUGGAGGCUUCAGGUCAGCCUGGAGGUCCGGCAACCCUAUCCCUAACACAUUUUACAUGGGAAUUUCCGUUCUCUGCAAGAAGGAACGCAGAUCAACAUAGGCCCAGGAUCUCCAGCCAGAGUUAAUUCUGUCUGCCUCUGAGAUUCUUCACUGGAUACUGAAUUACAACUGAUGAUCUUUUAGUGCAAUCCUAUGUAGAUUUACCCAGAACCCUGGCACCCAUGCAGCCCAACUGACCAUGCCACCCUAAAGCCACCUCUGAAGAAAAGACAUCAGCUCAGUGGUGGAGCAUCUGCUUUCAUGCAGCUUCAAUCCUUGGGGUCUCCAGAGAGGUUUUUUCCUUUCUGGGUUGCAUCAAAGCACGUCCUGCCUCAUCGCACCUUAGAGCAUCCUCAGAGCGCAGUGACAUGAUCUGUGCCAGCCCACCUGGAAACACAACCGUUACAAAGCAGCAGCAUCACCGAUUCUCUUUCUACUUCUGCCAUCAAUGAACUGGAGAAAACAAGAGGCAGGAGCAGGCCAAACAGUGGGGAUGCAGGCAGGCUGCAGUUUCUACAACCAGUCCUGUAUUGAUUCUGCAAACCCCUUAUUAACACCUGGCCAAGCUUUUGCAGUUUGCUGUUUGCCUGUGAGAUUAACCCGGACAAUUGCUUAAGUGAGUACAACUGCUCCCGUGGUCCCAAGGUGAUAGAAACCCCCCCCCCCAAAAAAUCUGCAGUCUAUCUGAAGGAGAUAAUCAGUUUCAACAGAAGGCUGUGUAGUGGUGCCUGUAUCUUUGGAACUCCCUCCUAGCUUUUAAGUGUACCUUGAAAAUGUAUUUGUUUGAAACAGCAAU